GACGAACGCUGGCGGCGUGCUUAACACAUGCAAGUCGAACGGAAAGGCCCUGCUUUUGUUGGGUGCUCGAGUGGCGAACGGGUGAGUAACACGUGAGUAACCUGCCCUUGACUUUGGGAUAACUUCAGGAAACUGGGGCUAAUACCGGAUAUGAGCUCCUGCUGCAUGGUGGGGGUUGGAAAGUUUCGGCGGUUGGGGAUGGACUCGCGGCUUAUCAGCUUGUUGGUGGGGUAGUGGCUUACCAAGGCUUUGACGGGUAGCCUGCCUGAGAGGGGGACCGGCCUCAUGGGGACUGAGAUACGGCCCAGACUCCUACGGGAGGCAGCAGUGGGGAAUAUUGCACAAUGGGCGGAAGCCUGAUGCAGCAACGCCGCGUGCGGGAUGACGGCCUUCGGGUUGUAAACCGCUUUCGCCUGUGACGAAGCGUGAGUGACGGUAAUGGGUAAAGAAGCACCGGCUAACUACGUG
rnacentral:rRNA from 1 species